ACUCCUACGGGAGGCAGCAGUGGGGAAUAUUGGACAAUGGGCGAAAGCCUGAUCCAGCCAUGCCGCGUGUGUGAAGAAGGUCUUCGGAUUGUAAAGCACUUUAAGUUGGGAGGAAGGGCAGUAAGUUAAUACCUUGCUGUUUUGACGUUACCAACAGAAUAAGCACCGGCUAACUUCGUGCCAGCAGCCGCGGUAAUACGAAGGGUGCAAGCGUUAAUCGGAAUUACUGGGCGUAAAGCGCGCGUAGGUGGUUCAGCAAGUUGGAUGUGAAACUCCCCCGGGCUCAACCUGGGGAACUGCAUCCAAAACUACUGAGCUAGAGUACGGUAGAGGGUGGUGGAAUUUCCUGUGUAGCGGUGAAAUGCGUAGAUAUAGGAAGGAACACCGAGUGGCGAAGGCGACCACCUGGACUGAUACUGACACUGAGGUGCGAAAGCGUGGGAGCAAACAGGAUUAGAUACCCUGGUAGGAUAGCG
rnacentral:rRNA from 1 species